rnacentral:rRNA from 1 species
GUGAAGGUGUACUGUGAGGUAUGCUGGAGGUAUCAGAAGUGCGAAUGCUGACAUAAGUAACGAUAAAGCGGGUGAAAAGCCCGCUCGCCGGAAGACCAAGGGUUCCUGUCCAACGUUAAUCGGGGCAGGGUGAGUCGACCCCUAAGGCGAGGCCGAAAGGCGUAGUCGAUGGGAAACAGGUUAAUAUUCCUGUACUUGGUGUUACUGCGAAGGGGGGACGGAGAAGGCUAUGUUGGCCGGGCGACGGUUGUCCCGGUUUAAGCGUGUAGGCUGGUUUUCCAGGCAAAUCCGGAAAAUCAAGGCUGAGGCGUGAUGACGAGGCACUACGGUGCUGAAGCAACAAAUGCCCUGCUUCCAGGAAAAGCCUCUAAGCAUCAGGUAACAUCAAAUCGUACCCCAAACCGACACAGGUGGUCAGGUAGAGAAUACCAAGGCGCUUGAGAGAACUCGGGUGAAGGAACUAGGCAAAAUGGUGCCGUAACUUCGGGAGAAGGCACGC